rnacentral:rRNA from 1 species
ACGAACGCUGGCGGCGUGCUUAACUCCUGCCAGUCGAACGGAAAGGCCCCUUUGGGGGUACUCGUGUGGCGAACGGGUGAGGAACACGUGAGUAACCUGCCCUUGACUUCGGGAUAACUUCAGGAAACUGGGGCUAAUACCGGAUAGGAAUCCUUGCUGCAUGGUGGGGGGUGGAAAGCUUCGUCGGUUUUGGUUGGACUCGUCGCUUAUCAGCUUGUUGGUUGGGUAGUGGCUUUCCAAUGCUUUGUCGGGUAGCCGGCCUGAGAGGGCGACCGGCCACAUUGGGACUGAGAUACGGCCCAGACUCCUACGGGAGGGAGAAGGGGGGAAUAUUGCACAAUGGGCGGAAGCCUGAUGCAGCAACGCCGCGUGCGGGAUGACGGCCUUCGGGUUGUAAACCGCUUUCAGCAGGGGCGAAGCUUGUGGUGACGGUACCUGCAGAAGAAGCACCGGCUAACUACGUG